GUGCUCACUCUGGCAGUACAUACGCUGAAAUUGGAACAAUACAGAGAUUAGUAUAGCCCCUGUGCAUGGAUGGCAUGCAAAUUUGUGAAUCAUUCCACAUUUUU
rnacentral:snRNA from 1 species